rnacentral:rRNA from 1 species
UACGUAGGUGACAAGCGUUGUCCGGAUUUACUGGGCGUAAAGAGCGCGCAGGCGGUCGAUCAAGUCGAGUGUGAAAGCCCCCGGCUCAACUGGGGAGGGUCAUUCGAUACUGAUCGACUCGAAGGCAGGAGAGGGUAGUGGAAUUCCCGGUGUAGUGGUGAAAUGCGUAGAUAUCGGGAGGAACACCGGUGGCGAAGGCGACUACCUGGCCUGUUCUUGACGCUGAGGCGCGAAAGCUAGGGGAGCAAACGGGG